rnacentral:rRNA from 1 species
CCUACGGGUGGCUGCAGUGAGGAAUAUUGGUCAAUGGACGAGCGUCUGAACCAGCCAAGUAGCGUGAAGGAUGACUGCCCUAUGGGUUGUAAACUUCUUUUAUAUGGGAAUAAAAUGUUCCACGUGUGGGCUUUUGUAUGUUCCCUAUGAAUAAGGAUCGGCUGACUCCGUUCCAGCAGCCGCGGUAAUACGGAGGAUCGGAGGGUUAACCGGAUUUAUUGGGUUUAAAGGGAGCGUAGGUGGAUUGUUAAGUCAGUUGUGAAAGUUUGCGGCUCAACCGUAAAAUUGCAGUUGAAACUGGCAGUCUUGAGUACAGUAGAGGUGGGCGGAAUUCGUGGUGUAGCGGUGAAAUACUUAGAUAUCACGAAGAACUCCGAUUGCGAAGGCAGCUCACUGGACUGCAACUGACACUGAGGCACGAAAGUGUGGGUAUCAAACAGGAUUAGAUACCCCGGUAGUC